GCUCCACCGGUAAGGCAAGGGGUCUCGGGGCCGGCCGGUCGACUCCGCCCCAGCCUCAGAGGGUGGAGUGAGGGCGGACCGGCCCUGGUGGGGGCCGCAGUCGAGGUCCGCAGUCUCCUCGGGGUCGAAAUCGGGCAUCAGCGCCGUUUAGAGAACACCGUCCUGCUGGGCAUGGCCGGGAUGCGAAGAUGGCCCUGCAACGCACCUCCUAGAAUUUGGUUACCUAGAAAACCAUGUGGAAUAAAACGACGAGGCUUAUGAUAUUUAAAAGACUUCUGCAUCGAAUUGGUGUUAUCAUAAGGGUUAUUUUAAUAACUGGCAUUCUCUAAGUUUCUACACGUGUUGGGGGAUGCAGUGCCGUGCCACAUUUCCCGUCUCCAGCAAGCGCAGUCAGAUUGGCGACAUCGCAGGCAAGAGGCAGGGCUGGGGCUCCCACCCGAGAAGUAAUUGUCUCCAAAGUUGGACUUUUGCCACUGGUUCUGCGACUUCAUGCAAUGCCAGGGAGAGCCCCUUGAUUUCCCCCAAAUCCUCAUCAGCCUCUUUCCACCCAAGCCCAGAUGAACAGUACUCAUCUACUCACCUGAGGAUUAUGAGGAUUAUGAGUUUUAUGGAGCAAAAUUUGCCUAGAAC
rnacentral:lncRNA from 1 species